GAUGAACGCUGGCGGCGUGCCUAAUACAUGCAAGUCGAGCGAACAGACGAGGAGCUUGCUUCUCUGAUGUUAGCGGCGGACGGGUGAGUAACACGUGGAUAACCUACCUAUAAGACUGGGAUAACUUCGGGAAACCGUAGCUAAUACCGGAUAAUAUUUUGAACCGCAUGGUUCAAUAGUGAAAGACGGUUUUGCUGUCACUUAUAGAUGGAUCCGCGCUGCAUUAGCUAGUUGGUAAGGUAACGGCUUACCAAGGCAACGAUGCAUAGCCGACCUGAGAGGGUGAUCGGCCACACUGGAACUGAGACACGGUCCAGACUCCUACGGGAGGCAGCAGUAGGGAAUCUUCCGCAAUGGGCGAAAGCCUGACGGAGCAACGCCGCGUGAGUGAUGAAGGUCUUCGGAUCGUAAAACUCUGUUAUUAGGGAAGAACAUAUGUGUAAGUAACUGUGCACAUCUUGACGGUACCUAAUCAGAAAGCCACGGCUAACUACGUG
rnacentral:rRNA from 1 species